AGGGAGCUUGCUUCUUCUGGAUGAGUUGCGAACGGGUGAGUAACGCGUAGGUAACCUGCCUGAUAGCGGGGGAUAACUAUUGGAAACGAUAGCUAAUACCGCAUAAGAGGUAAUAACACAUGUUAUUAGUUUAAAAGGGGCAACUGCUCCACUAUCAGAUGGACCUGCGUUGUAUUAGCUAGUUGGUAAGGUAACGGCUUACCAAGGCGACGAUACAUAGCCGACCUGAGAGGGUGAUCGGCCACACUGGGACUGAGACACGGCCCAGACUCCUACGGGAGGCAGCAGUAGGGAAUCUUCGGCAAUGGGGGCAACCCUGACCGAGCAACGCCGCGUGAGUGAAGAAGGUUUUCGGAUCGUAAAGCUCUGUUGUAAGAGAAGAACGGAUGUGGGAGUGGAAAAUCCAUGUCGUGACGGUAUCUUACCAGAAAGGGACGGCUAACUACGUGCCAGCAGCCGCGGUAAUACGUAGGUCCCGAGCGUUGUCCGGAUUUAUUGGGCGUAAAGCGAGCGCAGGCGGUUUCAUAAGUCUGAAGUUAAAGGCAGUGGCUUAACCAUUGUACGCUUUGGAAACUGUGAGACUUGAGUGCAGAAGGGGAGAGUGGAAUUCCAUGUGUAGCGGUGAAAUGCGUAGAUAUAUGGAGGAACACCGGUGGCGAAAGCGGCUCUCUGGUCUGUAACUGACGCUGAGGCUCGAAAGCGUGGGGAGCAAACAGGAUUAGAUACCCUGGUAGUCCACGCCGUAAACGAUGAGUGCUAGGUGUUGGGUCCUUUCCGGGACUCAGUGCCGCAGCUAACGCAUUAAGCACUCCGCCUGGGGAGUACGACCGCAAGGUUGAAACUCAAAGGAAUUGACGGGGGCCCGCACAAGCGGUGGAGCAUGUGGUUUAAUUCGAAGCAACGCGAAGAACCUUACCAGGUCUUGACAUCCCGAUGCCCGCUCUAGAGAUAGAGUUUUUCUUCGGAACAUCGGUGACAGGUGGUGCAUGGUUGUCGUCAGCUCGUGUCGUGAGAUGUUGGGUUAAGUCCCGCAACGAGCGCAACCCUUAUUGUUAGUUGCCAUCAUUGAGUUGGGCACUCUAGCGAGACUGCCGGUAAUAAACCGGAGGAAGGUGGGGAUGACGUCAAAUCAUCAUGCCCCUUAUGACCUGGGCUACACACGUGCUACAAUGGCUGGUACAACGAGUCGCAAGUCGGUGACGGCAAGCUAAUCUCUUAAAGCCAGUCUCAGUUCGGAUUGUAGGCUGCAACUCGCCUACAUGAAGUCGGAAUCGCUAGUAAUCGCGGAUCAGCACGCCGCGGUGAAUACGUUCCCGGGCCUUGUACACACCGCCCGUCACACCACGAGAGUUUGUAACACCCGAAGUCGGUGAGGUAACCUUUAGGAGCCAGCC
rnacentral:rRNA from 1 species